UUGUAGUUUUGCUUUGAAGAAAACUAUGCUUGCAUUGCGGUGUUUUAGAUAUUUUUUUUCCUUUUCCUUUUUCGAAGUUGGAUGUUGUAUCUUGGAUACCAUUUCUCAUUUUGGUUAUUGGAUUGGCAUUAUGAAUGCAGAUGGAAGGACAAUCUAGUAAUACAAGAUUUGUGAAUUCCCAGUAUGUUUGCCGCCCAGAAUGAUUGGAUUGUGGCUAGAAAAGAGUGUCACAUUCAUCGACAAUCAUGAUACAGGAUCCACACAAUAAUUAUGGGCAUUCCCUUCGGAUAAAGUCAUGCAAGGAUAUACUUAUGUUCUCACCCAUCCAAGAAUCCCUUCCAUAAUGAGUUCUAAUCAUCUACUGUUGUUAUGGUUUUUUUUUUUUCUCUUGCUGUAAGUAUCCAUAAAAUUACAUGUCCUAUGAGAUUUGGAUGGUUAUAAGCACAAUUGAACUGGUAUGCUCCACCAUACAUGGACUAAAAAAAAUUACCUUCCUAGCACAUUUGAAGUGUCAGCUAUUAGGUCCCUAAUCAAACAGUUUGUGAAGAACCAUGGUGUGUGCAUUGAAUAAACUUGAGUGAGAUGUGUUCAAGAAGGUCCUGCACACAUCUCACUUAACCAUUGCCAAGAUCCCAUUGACCUGAUGUUCCAAAAGGUUAAAAGCAGAGUUAUUUCUGUUUUUGUUUUUGGGUUCAGUCACUUUCUCGGGUUGUAAUAGGGAAGAUAGCACAGGGAGUUGUGUUCAUUUGACACAUGGACAGUCGCACACAAAAUUAUUGCUAAUGGCGAGUUCUUCUUCUUUGCAGAUGCUUUCAGACAAUCGAACAAGCUAUAGUUAUUCAUCAGCCAAGCAAAAGUCAUACCCAAAUCUUGCGUUGUGACUUUGUAUUAUUUGUGGAACCUAAUGUUGUGUAAUAGUUUGAUUGAGUUUGUUUUGAAAACUUUAAAUAGUAAACAAGUGAGAUUGAUUGUUUGAUUGAGUUGUUAACUAUUUUGUUGGUAUUAUGGCUUUCAUGAUUGAUUGUUUCA